rnacentral:rRNA from 1 species
CAAUUACUUGUCUUUUAAUUGGAGACGUGUAUGAAUGGAGAAAUGGGGGGAAGCUGUCUCUAAAAAAUUAUCUAAAAGUUAUUUUCUAGGUGAAAAAACCUAGGGAAAAUCAAGGACGAGAAGACCCUGGGAUCUUUUAUAUUUUUAGUUGGGGCAACUAAGGUUUUCACCUUUUGGAGUAAAUUUUUAAGUUAGAAUAAGGUACCCCAGGGAUAACAGUAUAAUAAAAUAAUUUUGUUUGUCACCUCGAUGUUGGACUAAGAAUUCCUCAGACUAGAAGUCUGAGGAACGGCUCUGUUCGAGCCAUUUCUCU